AUGAUGUGUCUGUGGUUCCCUGGAUGGCAGCUCUGACAGUGAUACUGAUGGUGCUGAGCACUUCCCUCACUUGGGCCAGGGACACCUGAACAGUUUUCAUGCAUCAGUUUAAGGCGAGUGUCAUUUCUCCAACGGGAUGGAGCAGGUGCGGUUCUUGGCCAGAUACACCUACAACGCGCAGGAGGAUGUGCACUUCGACAGUGACGUGGGGGAGUUCAGGGCGGUGACCGAGCUGGGGAGGCCGGACGCUGAGUACGGGAACCAGCAGAAGGACUUCAUGGAGCAGAUGCGGGCCAAGGUGGACACGGUGUGCAGAUCCAACUACUGGGGUAUUGGUAGCUUCAUGACGCAGCGGCGAGUGGCGCCUACAGUGACUGUGUAUCCUGCAAAGACACAGCCCCUGCAGCGCCACAACCUCCUGGUCUGCUCUGUGAAUGGUUUCUAUCCAGGCCACAUUGAAGUCAGGUGGUUCCGGAACGGCCAGGAAGAGGAGGUGGGGGUGGUCUCCACAGGCCUGAUCCCUAAUGGAGACUGGACCUUCCAGACCAUAGUGAUGUUUGAAACAGUCCCUCAGAGUGGAGAGGUCUACACCUGCCACGUGGAGCACCCCAGCCGGACCAGCCCUGUCACAGUGGAAUGGAGGGCACAGUCUGAAUGUGCUCAGAGCAAGAUGCUGAGUGGAACUGGGGGCUUUGUUCUGGGUCUGCUCUUCCUUGGGGUGGGGCUGUUCAUCUACUUCAGGAAUCAGAAAGAACACCCUGCACUUCAGCCAACAGAGCAGAAGCUGAACAGGAUUGCUUCUCCUCUUGCCUUCAGUGAAGGAGCUCAGCCUCAGGAUCACCUGUGGGAGUAA